UUGUUCGCAAUGGGCGCAAGCCUGACGACGCAACGCCGCGUGGAGGAUGAAGAUCUUCGGGUCGUAAACUCCUUUCGAUCAAGACGAACGGCCUCCGGGUGAAUAGCCUGGGGGAGUGACGGUACCGAGAGAAGAAGCCCCGGCUAACUCCGUGCCAGCAGCCGCGGUAAUACGGGGGGGGCAAGCGUUGUUCGGAAUUACUGGGCGUAAAGGGCUCGUAGGCUGCCAACUAAGUCAGACGUGAAAUCCCUCGGCUUAACCGGGGAACUGCGUCUGAUACUGGAUGGCUUGAGUUCGGGAGAGGGAUGCGGAAUUCCAGGUGUAGCGGUGAAUGCGUAGAUAUCUGGAGGAACACCGGUGGCGAAGGCGGCAUCCUGGACCGACACUACGCGAGAGCGAGC
rnacentral:rRNA from 1 species